rnacentral:rRNA from 1 species
UGGAAAUCAUUCGCAGAGUGUAAAGGCACAAGGGAGCUUGACUGCGAGACCUACAAGUCGAGCAGGGACGAAAGUCGGGCUUAGUGAUCCGGUGGUUCCGCAUGGAAGGGCCAUCGCUCAACGGAUAAAAGCUACCCCGGGGAUAACAGGCUUAUCUCCCCCAAGAGUCCACAUCGACGGGGAGGUUUGGCACCUCGAUGUCGGCUCAUCGCAUCCUGGGGCUGUAGUCGGUCCCAAGGGUUGGGCUGUUCGCCCAUUAAAGCGGUACGCGAGCUGGGUUCAGAACGUCGUGAGACAGUUCGGUCCCUAUCCGUCGCGGGCGCAGGAAAUUUGAGAGGAGCUGUCCUUAGUACGAGAGGACCGGGAUGGACGCACCGCUGGUGUACCAGUUGUUCUGCCAAGGGCAUCGCUGGGUAGCUAUGUGCGGACGGGAUAAGUGCUGAAAGCAUCUAAGCAUGAAGCCCCCCUCAAGAUGAGAUUUCCCAGUAUGUAAGACCCCUUGAAGACGACGAGGUAGAUAGGUUGGGGGUGGAAGUGCAGUAAUGCAUGGAGCUGACCAAUACUAAUCGGUCGAGGGCUUAUCCUAAG